UUUAAUUGGAGAGUUUGAUCCUGGCUCAGAAUGAACGCUGGCGGCGUGCUUAACACAUGCAAGUCGAACGAGAAAUUCCGGCUUCGGUCGGGAGAGUAAAGUGGCGCACGGGUGAGUAACGCGUGGGCAACCUGCCUAUUAAUCUGGGAUAACUUCGCGAAAGCGUUGCUAAUACCGGAUAUUGUUCUUUAAACCCCGGUUUGAAGGAUGAAAGAUGACCUCUUCAUGAAAGUUGUCGUUAGUAGUGGGGCCCGCGUACCAUUAGCUAGUUGGUAAGGUAACGGCCUACCAAGGCUAUGAUGGUUAGCUGGUCUGAGAGGAUGGCCAGCCACACUGGAACUGGAACACGGUCCAGACUCCUACGGGAGGCAGCAGUGAGGAAUUUUGCCCAAUGGGGGAAACCCUGAGGCAGCAACGCCGCGUGAGUGAAGAAGGCCUUCGGGUCGUAAAGCUCUGUCAAGUGGGAAAAAGAUUUUACGGUUAAUAGCCGUGAAAUUUGAUGGUACCGCUGAAGGAAGCACCGGCUAACUCCGUGCCAGCAGCCGCGGUAAUACGGAGGGUGCUAGCGUUAUUCGGAAUUAUUGGGCGUAAAGCGCGUGCAGGCGGCUUGGCAAGUCAGAUGUGAAAGCCCUGGGCUCAACCCAGGAAGUGCAUUUGAAACUAUCAAGCUUGAGUAUGGGAGAGGAGAGUGGAAUUCCCAGUGUAGAGGUGAAAUUCGUAGAUAUUGGGAGGAACACCCGUGGCGAAGGCGACUCUCU
rnacentral:rRNA from 1 species